rnacentral:rRNA from 1 species
GACGAACGCUGGCGGCGUGCCUAAUACAUGCAAGUCGAGCGGGGUCACCACGGGUGGCAACACCGGUGGUGACCGAGCGGCGAACGGGUGAGUAACACGUGAGGAACCUGCCCCGAAGACCGGGAUACGCCGGGGAAACCUGGUCUAAUACCGGAUACCCUCCUUGGAUCGCAUGGUCCGUGGAGGAAAUGGAUUCCGCUUCGGGAGGGUCUCGCGGCCUAUCAGCUUGUUGGUGAGGUAACGGCUCACCAAGGCAGCGACGGGUAGCUGGUCUGAGAGGACGAUCAGCCACACUGGGACUGAGACACGGCCCAGACUCCUACGGGAGGCAGCAGUAGGGAAUCUUGCGCAAUGGGCGAAAGCCUGACGCAGCAACGCCGCGUGGGGGAUGAAGGCUCUCGGGUUGUAAACCCCUUUCAGCAGGGACGAAAACUGACGGUACCUGCAGAAGAAGCCCCGGCCAACUACGUGCCAGCAGCCGCGGUAAAAC